UGAAUUCACAUUUGAUCUUGAUGUGGUGUGAAGCUUUGUUUAAAGAUAUUACCCAUGCAUGUUUAAAACAGUUCCCUUUGUGGGGGCAAUUUGCGAACAGCUCAUUAAAACAUCUGUAAUUUUCAGUCUAGUGGACCUUUACAUGGAUACUCCCGGUAACUCCACGCCUAAUACAUGCGUCAACAUCGACUUUUCGGAAGAUGGCAUUUAUUAGCUUGAAACCAACGUCGCCCGUUAAACGGCUGGAUUGAUUUCUAAUAACUCAGUGAAUCCCGGCUUUAGUGCUGGGAUAAAGACUAUAAACAGAUGACCUAUUAGCUUGUAAGUUGUGUCGUGGACAACUUAGGCGAUGAUGGGCACAGGAAUCUGGAGAUUGAUACUGGAGAAAGAGCCAUAGUGACAGCUCUUAUUUCUAAGGAAAGCAGCAGGGACGAAAAUUGCACACUACGCAAUUGCGUGAUGCAGUGACAAUCUGUAAUUGUUUUUGUCGGAGCAAUCCUUCAAAAAAUGAUUAAUACAACAUCUAUUUAAACCUCUCUUACGAAGACGAUGGCCAUCUGGGUGCCAGCAGCAGCGGUAAUACCUAAUCGUCGAGUUUGACAUCCGCUUAUUGCGUUUAAAACGUUCGUAGUUGGUAUGGUUGGGUUUCACCAAAGUGACAGACCUCGUGUUUGUUUUAAUUGAUGCGGGGGCUUAUGUUUCCGUUUUCAACGCUUUGGAUUUCGAUACCCAAUAUAGGUCUCGGCGUGGUCAAACAUGACCGGGAUCUUGUACCAUGAGAAAAAGAGUACGCUAAAAGUGGGCUCUCAAUGCUUGAAUCAUUCAGCAUGGAAUACACACAACAGGCUCACAUUCUAGUGUUCUGAGCAGCGGGGUCAAACCCGUUGUAAAGGCUAGGGUGGGCCGAUGCGGUUCUCACUGUAUCGGUUUCGGUCCUCGUUUGUAAGUUGGUUCUUCACGACCAAGUCAUGAUCAAUAGGGGUGGUUGAGGAGAUGUAUGUAUGCGUGGGAGAGAGGUGAAAUUUGAUGACCCCACCGCAGACAAACAAAAGCGAAAGCAUUCAUCGAUUACAUUCCCGUUAAUCAAGAACGAAAGUUAGAGUAGCAAAGGCCAUUAGAUGCAGCUGUAGUUUUAACCAUAAACGAUGACAUCUCAGGAUAUCAUUGAUAAUCUGUCUGGUAUUGUAGUAGGGGUAACCCUGCUGUAAUAUUGCUCGUACAGGUUUUGUUCAUUGAGUUUUGUAGUAGUAAUACUACAACUCGUUUUAGACCAAUGAUGCACUGUGUGAGAAAUCAACAGCUGUCUUCGUGGAGUGUAUGUUAGCAAUGAUGAAAUUUAAAAGAAUUGACGGAAGUAUCACCACCAGGAGUGGAUCGUGCGGCUUAAUUUGACUCAACGCGGGAAAUUUUACCAGGGCAGGACACCAUGAGGAUUGACAAUGGGGAACGUUAAAAACUCCCCAACGACUGCAGCUCUUUCAAGAUUUUGUGUUUGUUAAAUGUAGUGCAUGGCCUUUGGGAAGUGGGUAGAUUGAUUCCUCUGAUUAAUUUCGAUAACUAGCGAGACCUACACCUUGAGGUAUGGCAGCUUUACAGCUGUUAUACCAUAUUUUGUAAAUACAAUGCGAUAUCUUUUUGAUACCGGAACCGUCCUUCGGGACGCAUUGUUCUUAAAGGGACUACCGCUGUUCUAAGCGGUGGAAGCUGUAGGCGAUAAAAGGUCCGUGAUGCUCUCAGAUGUUCUGGGCCGCUCGCGCGCUACACUGACAUUGUCAAUAAGUUUUUUGCCGAUUGUUGCUGGGGGGGUUAUACCUCUUGGCCAGUCGACCCCUGAUUCGAGAGGAUUGGGAAUUCUUUGAACCGAUGUCGUGCUGGGGAUUGAAGAUUGUAAUUAUUCUUCAUGAACGAGGAAUUCCUAGUAAAUAUGUGUCAUCAACACAUGUUGAAUACGUUUCUGGUCUUUGUACACACCGCCCGUCGCUGUUACCGAUUGAAUGGUUCAAUGAGUAGUAAGGAGUUUGAGGCAUUUAUGUCGCGUUCGAAUUACCUCGAAUUGUAUCAUUUAGAGGAAGCAAAAGUCGUAACAAGGUAUCGGUAGGUGAACCUGCAGAAGGAUCA
rnacentral:rRNA from 1 species